GUCUCCGGCCAUACCACCCUGAACGCGCCCGAUCUCCUCUGAUCUCGGAAGCUAAGCAGGGUCGGGCCUGGUUAGUACUUGGAUGGGAGAAGCCUUUCUGAUUCCCUAACUGAGAUGGAAUGCUUGCAGAUGCAGAUU
rfam:Ailuropoda melanoleuca scaffold1748_46, whole genome shotgun sequence.